rnacentral:rRNA from 1 species
GACGAACGCUGGCGGCGUGCCUAAUACAUGCAAGUCGAGCGCAGGAAGCCGACGGAACCUUUCGGGGGGAAGUCGACGGAAUGAGCGGCGGACGGGUGAGUAACACGUAAAGAACCUGCCCUCAGGUCUGGGAUAACCACGAGAAAACGGGGCUAAUACCCGAUGGGUCAUCGGACCGCAUGGUCCGACGAGGAAAGGCGAUUCGGCGUCGCCCGGGGAGGGCUUUGCGGUGCAUUGGCUAGUCGGUGGGGUGAGGGCCCACAAAGGCGGACGAUACAUAGCCGACCUGAGAGGGUGAUCGGCCACACUGGGACCGAGACACGGCCCAGACUCCUACGGGAGGCAGCAGUAGGGAAUCUUCCACAAUGGACGAUAGUCUGAUGGAGCAACGCCGCGUGAACGAUGAAGGCCUUCGGGUCGUAAAGUUCUGUUGUAAGGGAAGAACAAGUGCCGCAGGCAAUGGCGGCACCUUGACGGUACCUUGCGAGAAAGCCACGGCUAACUACGUGCCAGCAGCCGCAGUAACAC